UAGAUAUACCAAUAAGCUAUGCUAUUUAGAAUUAACACUAUUCACUUGCCUGUCACUUUUGCAUAAAUAAAUGUUUUGGCUAGCUCCAUGCCGGGGUGACCCUCAACUGCUCAAGCUGUGCUGAGAAACAGCUGCACUGCACUGCACUGCAGCCCAAAAGCCUCCUAACAGCCAUAAGCUUUAGGAAUCAAAAGGACACAGAGGAUUAUACCGAGGGACAAUAUACUAUAUUUUAUGAAUAGAAGCUAUGGGGAAACACAUCACUUCAGUAAGAGAAAGAUGAUUAACAGUGCCACUAUCCAAGGAAGACGUUAAUACAUUUUAAGGCAUAAGAAUAUAAAUCUGUUAUAACAAGGUACUAAUUACGUGCAUGGAGGGGAACCUUUGUGACUGGAUCUCAUCUCUUCUGUGUGAAGUUGGAGGAGGAGGUGGAGGAAAGAGGCUGUUGCAUUUGUGCCAUCAUUCCCAUUGUCCUAGAUUUCUGCAGACUAAAUCUGCACACAUGGGGAAGGAAGCAUGCGGGGAGACAGUCACUCCACCUCAGAAGACCAUCAAUAUUUCACCAGAGAAGCAAUAUAGCUUGAAGCUGUGGACUUUCUCUGCAGUCAUGCUAUGUGUAGUGCAAGCUCCAAAGGAACCAGAGGUAAAAGAUGACAAUGUGGCUCCACUUGAGUUAUCUUUCCAGGAACAGCGGAAAAGCCACAAGGAAAUAUGGUGUUAAUUAAACACUACAUUGAUAAACACCAGGGAAGAACUUAUAUCAUCUUAUAACCAGCUCAUCAAUAACUACAGAAACUGUGACAUAGCCUCUAAAAUACAAGGCUGAAUCUUUUACUGAACCACUGUUGAAAACAAUGCUCUUAAUACCUUUUCCCAGCAGUACAAGGCCAAUUGUCAAGAUCUUAAAAGAAACCCAGCUGGAUCAGACUAAUGGUGCCUCCAGUCUAGGAUCUUGUUACAUGUGGCCAACUAUAUAUUUCUGGGAAACCCACCAGCUGAAAGUCAAAACUCCUUCUGUUAUGUGCUAGCACUGGUAUUCACAGGAUUACAGCCUCUGAAAAUGGAGAUUCCAUUUAGUCAUCAUAGCCAAUAGUCAUUGCUGGUCACAUUUUCCACAAAUUUUAAUGUUGCAUUUUUAAAGACAACAAAAUUAGUGACUACCACCAUAUCUUGUGGUGGAGAAGUCUACAAGUUAAUUACUCUUCAAGUGAAACAUUAAUGUUAAAGAUGCUAAAGUCUAUUUUGUGAACAGGCAUUAUUCCUGAAGAAUGGCUGACCACAUUUCAGUAAUGUCUGUAGCAGAACUUUUUAGCCAUCGGCACCAUUGCUAACGCUGCCUCCACUAAAUUAAGCUGAAUUAAGGAGAACCAGAUAACUGAGCAUCUUGCACUUGCUCUUUCAGUAUUGGCUUAAGUGGGAUCUAUAGAUUCUCUCUUUGUAAUAAACAAAGUUGUGCAAAAUAGCACAAAAUUCUGCCAUAUGCAAAAGAAUUCUCCAUUGCUGCUCUAAAAAGUGGUACUGAUAAUAGAGUCUCUGUUAACAUUCAUAAAUCAAGCAAAGAAACAUUUUAAUAGAAGCAGUAGUAUUACUUUGGCCAUUCAUUUACAAGUUUCCAUAACAAUUCCAAGAUAAGUUCUGACUUGUCAGUCAAUAUUUUCUAAGAAGACAGUGGUAACAACAAAAUCAGAAUGAUUCUUCAACCAACUAUAGAAAUAUUCAGAGCUCUUUAGAAGGCUACAUUGCAGACCAGAUGCUCUUUGUUGUGAGUAAGGGGAGAACCAGAGAAAUUAAAAAAAGUGUUUACCUUUCAACUGGGUAACAUGGUGGUGGCAAAAUAUUGCACAUUGAACAUGUUAUUGUGAACCACCGCCUGAGUUUCAUGGCUUUAACUACAAAUGGCAAGAAAUCCUGACAACUAUAUAGGUAGUGCUAGAUGGUAUUUACCUUGUGCUUAUGAAGCUCAUAUUGUGUAAACAUCAUCAUGAACUAUUCACUCAUUUGAUGUGUAAUGCACAGAGGAAAUUGACACAGUCUAAUCUCUGUUCAUUAAAUGAUCAAACACUC